GGCUUAGAAGCAGCCAUCCUUUAAAGAAAGCGUAAUAGCUCACUGGUCGAGUCGGCCUGCGCGGAAGAUGUAACGGGGCUAAACCAUGCACCGAAGCUGCGGCAGCGAUACGCAAGUAUUGUUGGGUAGGGGAGCGUUCUGUAAGCCGUUGAAGGUGUGCUGUGAGGCAUGCUGGAGGUAUCAGAAGUGCGAAUGCUGACAUAAGUAACGAUAAAGCGGGUGAAAAACCCGCUCGCCGGAAGACCAAGGGUUCCUGUCCAACGUUAAUCGGGGCAGGGUGAGUCGACCCCUAAGGUGAGGCCGAAAGGCGUAAUCGAUGGAAAACAGAUUAAUAUUUCUGUACCUCUGCUAACUGCGAUGGAGAGACGGAGAAGGCUAGGCUAGCGCGGCGUUGGUAGUCCGCGUUUAAGGUAGUAGGCGGUGUUCUUAGGCAAAUCCGGGAACACAUUACGCUGAGAGCUGAUGACGAGUCACUAAGGUGAUGAAGUAGUUGAUGCCAUGCUUCCAGGAAAAUCUUCUAAGCUUCAGGUUAGUAGGGAUCGUACCCCAAACCGACACAGGUGGUCGGGUAGAGAAUACCAAGGCGCUUGAGAGAACUCGGGUGAAGGAACUAGGCAAAAUGGUACCGUAACUUCGGGAGAAGGUACGCCGGCUUUGGUGAUGGGACUUGCUCCCUAAGCUGAGGCUGGUCGAAGUGACCAGGUGGCUGCGACUGUUUAUUAAAAACAUAGCACUCUGCAAACACGAAAGUGGACGUAUAGGGUGUGAUGCCUGCCCGGUGCUGGAAGGUUAAUUGAUGGGGUUAGCGUAAGCGAAGCUCUUGAUCGAAGCCCCAGUAAACGGCGGCCGUAACUAUAACGGUCCUAAGGUAGCGAAAUUCCUUGUCGGGUAAGUUCCGACCUGCACGAAUGGCGUAACGACGGCCACACUGUCUCCACCCGAGACUCAGUGAAAUUGAAAUCGCUGUUAAGAUGCAGUGUAUCCGCGGCUAGACGGAAAGACCCCGUGAACCUUUACUAUAGCUUUGCACUGGACUUUGAAUUUGUUUGUGUAGGAUAGGUGGGAGGCUUUGAAGCGUGGACGCCAGUCUGCGUGGAGCCAACCUUGAAAUACCACCCUGGCAACUUUGAGGUUCUAACUCUGGUCCGUUAUCCGGAUCGAGGACAGUGUAUGGUGGGUAGUUUGACUGGGGCGGUCUCCUCCCAAAGAGUAACGGAGGAGUACGAAGGUGCGCUCAGACCGGUCGGAAAUCGGUCGUAGAGUAUAAAGGCAAAAGCGCGCUUGACUGCGAGACAGACACGUCGAGCAGGUACGAAAGUAGGUCUUAGUGAUCCGGUGGUUCUGUAUGGAAGGGCCAUCGCUCAACGGAUAAAAGGUAC
rnacentral:rRNA from 1 species